GGCCUGAUAGCAUAGUGGUUAGUGUGCCUGCUUCUUAUAGAUUGAAUGAACAAUGUGUAAGCAGGAGGUCCUCGUUUGAAUCGAGGUCAGGCCA